GACGAACGCUGGCGGCGCGCUUAACACAUGCAAGUCGAACGGAAAGGCCUGCUUUCCCUUGUGGAUUGCGGGUACUCGAGUGGCGAACGGGUGAGUAACACGUGAGUGAUCUGCCCCCAACUUGGGUAUAAGCCUGGGAAACUGGGUCUAAUUCCCGAUAGGACUGCAGGGUGGUGCCUGUGGUGGAAAACGAUUUUCUAGUGGUUGGGGAUGAGCUCGCGGCCUAUCAGCUUGUUGGUGGGGUAAUGGCCUACCAAGGCGGCGACGGGUAGCCGGCCUGAGAGGGUGGACGGCCACAGUGGGACUGAGAUACGGCCCAGACUCCUACGGGAGGCAGCAGUGGGGAAGAUUGCACAAUGGGCGGAAGCCUGAUGCAGCGACGCCGCGUGGGGGAUGACGGCCUUCGGGUUGUAAACUCCUUUCGACCGCGAGGAAGCCACCUGGUUGGAAGGGUGGUGACGGUAGUGGUAGAAGAAGCACCGGCUAACUACGUG
rnacentral:rRNA from 1 species